rnacentral:rRNA from 1 species
AGAGCGAACGCUGGCGGCAGGCCUAACACAUGCAAGUCGAACGGACCCUUCGGGGUUAGUGGCGGACGGGUGAGUAACACGUGGGAACGUGCCUUUAGGUUCGGAAUAGCUCCUGGAAACGGGUGGUAAUGCCGAAUGUGCCCUUCGGGGGAAAGAUUUAUCGCCUUUAGAGCGGCCCGCGUCUGAUUAGCUUGUUGGUGGGGUAAUGGCUCACCAAGGCUACGAUCAGUAGCUGGUCUGAGAGGAUGACCAGCCACAUUGGGACUGAGACACGGCCCAAACUCCGUACGGGAGGCAGCGAGGUGGGGAAUCGUUGCGACAAGUGGGACGAAAGGCCUAGACCGCACGCCAGUCGCCGUGUGUAGUGAGU